AGUGUGUGUGUGUGUGUAUGAAUGGCAGGCUUUGGCAGUAAAUGAAACUGUUUAUCAGAUCAAUAUGGCCAUCAUCUCUCAGAUGACUGUGGCCUCUGCGGAAGAACAAUCAUAAAUCACAGCCAAAUAUGGAGGACGGCGAUCCAUAGGGCGGCUUGAGUGUCUCCUGUAUGUACAGGCUGUAUAUUUUGACAGAAAAUACAGAAGUCUUUCUGGAAACAUGAGCAAGUCCAGACCACAGCUGUGAGAAAAUCAUUGCAGCCAUGUUGUAACGUAUCCUCGUUCUUUCCUGUACUGAGCUUCGGCGGCCUCCUGUGCUCCCGCACUGAAUAAUAUAGCCCACCGAUAUCAGCGAGAAGCGUCAGGAAACCAAAAUAGCAUCUUGAGCUCCGAUAAAUAUAGAAGGUAAUUAAAUCGGCAGCGGGAGAGAGACGGAGGAACGCCAGGAAGGAGGGAAGGGUCUGUUUUCACGGGCGAGCGGCGCUGAUACGGACGGGUGGAUGUGGCGUCUGUUUUGUAUAACGUUUUGGCGUUUAAUUUUUUUUCUGCUCUUGUGUUCUGUUUUUUAUAUAUCCACAUUGACUUCUAUAGGUACGUUUUCACCUAAAUACCAAAAUUAGUGUUUAAUUUUAACAAUAACCAUGUUGACCCUAAUUAUAGACGUCCGUGGCUAUAAGAGGACCCCUGUUUUUCUCGGCAUGUUUUUCAGUAUCAGUAAAACAGCAAUUGGUAGAUAAAAAAAUAAAUAAAGAAGGAGCUGCUUGACUUUGUCGUCUUUAAUUAUUAACAUAAUGACACACAGGAAGUGACUCGGUUUCCUCCCACAUUCCAAAAACAUGCUAGGUUAAUUGACGACUCCAAAUUGUCCAUAGGUAUGAAUGUGAGUGUGAAUGGUUGUUUGUCUAUAUGUGCCCUGUGAUUGGCUGGCCACCAGUCCAGGGUGUUCACCACCUCUCGCCCAAAGACAGCUGGGAUAGGCUCCAAUACUCCCGCAACCCUCGUGAGGACAAGCGGUAGAAAAUGAAUGAAUGAAUGAACACACAGGAAGUGGAAAAACUUCCAUAAUGUAAUUUGUUAAUAAGCAGAUCCGAAACAAGCACUCCAUACCAUACCAUUUAAAUUAGCAUCAUAACUUCUAUGUUGGUUGCUAACAUGCUAUUAACCAUUAAGACAAUGGUGUGUGCGAGUGAUGGGAAGAAAAGCUCUGGCUCACUUGGGUAGAAGUCGUUGGUUUGCAUGUUCUACUGUUGUACUAUGGAAUCUUGGUUAUUUCCGGUUCCUGUAGUGGGAAGCUAAUAGGAUGCUAACAAGGAUGUUUUGGCAUUAAAAAUACAUUGACGCAGUUAGACACACAGUGUAUUAACAACACGCUAACCGAAAAAUGUACGCAAACUGAGGCAGUUAACGAAAACACCCGCUGAGCAGGGUGGACGCUAACCGAUGUUCCAUUGUAUUUGGAUCAAUACGAAAUAUCCCAAUGACAAUACAAGCGUAUUCGCAGUAGACCUGUGGUAUCGUCUUGUGCCAUUGAUUUGACACCGCUGUGUUUUCCUGACGUUGACUGUAAAUGAUAACAAUCACAUUGACUAAACGGCGUGUCUUUUACAUACGCAAAUGUACUCUCCAAGUGAGUGAGUGACCCGUGGAUUAUUUUGAGUACACUAUUGUGAGUGUGCCCUCGAGGCAAAUGGUAUCUGAUUUGAAACUAAAUUAGCUGUGUUUGCUGGGUCAGAACCAUACCUGACAAACCCAACUCCAUUGGAAAAUCCCAUUUAUUCCCUUAUAAUCUUUGCAGACGUGGUUUUAAUUUGUUUUGUCGCCUCUGCCAAGUGUGGAUAGAGGAAGGCGAGAGAUUGUUCUCAUCACCGUCUGUUGCUCAGUUGUCAGGGGAUCGAAAUGUUACACAAGAUUUCUAUGAAGGUUUGUUUAAUUCCUUUGUUGGGCAAGGAAUUGUUGUUACGUCAUGGGGGGGGCUCAGUAAGCCACUCGCUUGCUACCACCACCUACAGGACAGGAGUGGAACAGCAUAGCAGGCACGUCAUGCUUUGUCAUGCUUGGAACUGAAUCUUAGCGGAGGUCGACCUAGUUAGAUUUUCUGCCAUCGGAUCUGGUUGGCUACGAUUGGCUGGCUACCAGUCCAGGGUGUACCCCGCCUCUCGCCCAAAGACAGCUGGGAUAGGCUCCAGCACCCCCGCGACCCUCAUGAGGAAAAAGCGGUAGAAAAUGAAUGAAUGAAUGGAUCUGGUUGGCUACGAUUGGCUGGCUACCAGUCCAGGGUGUACCCCGCCACUCACCCGAAGUCAGCUGGGAUAGGCUCCAGCAUAACCCCGCAAUUCUAAUGAGGAUAAGCGGCAUAGAAAAUGGAUGGAUGGAUCUGGUUAACUUCCUGUUUACGCCUUGGUGGAGGUCUGUGCUCAGCAAAUAUCUUCUCCAGUCUUCUUAGGGCUGUAUUGCAGUCACAGUGAGUCAGCAUUAUUUCAUCAGUUCACUGUCAUCCGCCCUCUGACGUGGUCCUUUUCUCACCCUUGUGUACCUACCCACCCGUUUAGUCUGUGGGGACCCCACGGAUGGAGGAACCCGCGAGGAGCGGUGGGGUGGGUGAAAAGGUUGUCGCCGGAGAAGCCGAUCACCAUCUUGACAUCGUCUCCUCGGGGAGCGUGUGUGUCCGUUCUAUUUUGACAUGUUGUGACAAAAAGUGACUGACUGCAGUCCAACACAAGCCGUUACACAAAGACUCAAUGAUGACAGUCGCACACAUCGCCUUCCACAUACAUACACACUAUGUCUUCCUAUCUCUUGCAUGCUUAGUCUCCUGUCUCCCUCGACUACCUCUUUCUCUCCCACACGCCCACACAGACAAUGGCAUCUUGUAUAUCCCUGAGACACAAAGGUGCCACAACACACAUUUGCAUGAACACACACUUCCUGCUCUACGUGCAUUUGGCCGUACCAAGUGUGCAUGACAUGUCUUUCUCUAAUGCACACAAAAGGCUCUCACAAUUUUUUUCCUCACUUGCAUUGUCUGCCUUUCCCCCACGCACACACACACAUACUACACACACAUACACACAACGCAGCACUACUCUCUGUCUUGGAAUUUUACAUUUUGAUGAAGGAGGAAGCGCAUCGUCCAAUCAGAGCAGCGUGAGGAGGGAGAGACCAUGUGAGCGCAGACAGCAGGAUGGUUUAGAGGCGGCUGAACAAGCGCUGGUGUGCUCUGCCACCCCCCGCAUCCCCUCUAGGCGGGUGGUACGACCCGGCAUGCUGAAUAAGAACCCCUCCUCUCUGUCUUUCCCUCUCCUGUCAGCGCUAGGGUGUAGCUACUGAUCCGAUACACCAGAGCAGAGGGAGGAAGAGGAGCCACGUCAGGUGUCAGCGCCGCUGCGACCCGACUUCACCCGACGCCGCUACCCUUCUAGGGCCAGUUCUCCGCCUCGCCAACCCGGCCCAUGCCGUUCGCCCCAACCAGGCCCUACUUGCCCGCCCUGCCCUGCCUUGCCGAGCAGCUGGCAUGCGAGGAGUCAUCAGGGUUAGUGCUCGGCUGGCACACCUUUUGCGUCCGAAUCAGCAAGGUUGGAACGUGUAAAUUUAUCGACGUGCACCAAAACGCGAGGCCAAGCCAUUCAUCUUGCAUAAGCUAAAGACGGGGUGCGGUGCAUUAGCUUAAAAACACAUCAUUCACUGAAGGGGAUGCUAAGCGAUAUGUUGGGUUUUUUUUUUAAUUUACAACCCACACACUCUAAUUUUUAUAUAUACACACACACACGCACACACACAUUAGCCGGAUUAUUUCGAAGCUAUUUGGCGACUAAUUCAAAUACGGCAACAUUUUCCGCAGUUCAUCCAGGGGGGAAAAACAUAGACAAAGCUCCAACUAAAUGACUGUCGGCCUUAUCAGGACCGUGUGGGUGUUUGUGCACGAGACGGAGAGCGAGAAAAGGCAAGGCGUGUGAGCGUACACGCACCACCAACAGGCUUGACAGGCGAGGCUCGCGCUUUUCCAAAUCUCUGCCCUUGCCUGUAAUGCAUGUGUCAGUUAAAGCCAAAGUGUUGCAGCGGGGAGGGCGGGAGCAGCGCCGCUAAAUGUGUGUUUUUACAUUUAAUGUAUCUUUCCUUGAGCACAAAUGGAAGAAUGAAGAAGUGAAAGCUGUCGAUAAGUUAACCUUAUUUCCCGAGUCCUUUUAAAAGAAGACUCGCCAAGUUAAAAAUAACACCUGAAGGAGAAAGACAUCUUGAUUUUAUUGAUGUUCUCCCUUUUAGUCGAGGGAAUUUGAGGACAACAAUCGACAACGUGUGCGUCUGUGUUUGAUUUAUGUGCGUCUUUGUGUACCUUUCUUUGAGCCCCCUGAGUUAAUGAGGAAAUGAAUGCGUCCUUAUCACAGCUGACUGCCACAGCUCUUAAUAACGGACACAAAACACAGCAAUUUAUGCGCCCGCUGACACUUUACAGCCUCCCGGCAUGUUACUGAGAUUGAAGCAACAAAACAGGUCAUAAUCUGGAUUUUUUGAAGCACUUCAAGAUGUUGCCGCACUUAAAAAAAAAAGGAGAAAAUGUAUCUUUUUCCUGGUGAUGUGCGGAGGUCUGCAGCAUCCUCCCAUCCCUGGCUCCCUCCAUCCCAAGCACAGACAACAUACGUCAUUUUCCAACUCAAUUUACAGAUGCAUUAGGAGAUGCUGAGGCGCACCCAUAUCUCUCCAAUGCAAUCAGGCCUCCUUUGUGCUUUAAGAGGAAAUUGAGGGUGCCGUCGUUAUCGACUUUCUUCACCACUUGGUUCUGGUGUAGGCCCUGCCUGUUGUCAGCCCACGCCUACCAGCUUUACCUCUACUUCUCUUUAAUGACUGAUCUGUUGUCUCCCUUUUAGGCCGCAUUAAAGAGGCGAAGGACGUCAAGGCUCAUCUUGCAACCAUUUCUCUUAUAGAUAGACCAAGCUGUCACGCAAGACGAAGUGGAGACCAGAGGGGGAGUUAAGAGUAAGACUGUGGACCCCCAAGGAGAGGCAAUGAGAUGUAACCGCUCCUCUUCUCCCUAAUGGAAAGAGCCUUUCCACCAUUUGAGCACCAUCUGCUGGCUCGGUGGGGCGGGACAGCUGGUGUUGUGAAUCAGGCCGCCACAUUCCAGGGACCCGGCUACUUCCCAACACCAGGGUCUCUCCCAUCA